rnacentral:rRNA from 1 species
CGGGGGGCAGCAGUGAGGAAUAUUGCACAAUGGGCGAAAGCCUGAUGCAGCAACGCCGCGUGGAGGAUGACGCAUUUCGGUGUGUAAACUCCUUUUAUGAGUCAAGAAAAUGACGGUAGCUCAUGAAUAAGCACCGGCUAACUCCGUGCCAGCAGCCGCGGUAAUACGGAGGGUGCAAGCGUUACUCGGAAUCACUGGGCGUAAAGGACGCGUAGGCUGUCUAGCAAGUCAGAUGUGAAAUCCAAUGGCUCAACCAUUGAACUGCAUUUGAAACUGCUAGACUAGAGUAUGGGAGGGGGAGAUGGAAUUAGUGGUGUAGGGGUAAAAUCCGUAGAUAUCACUAGGAAUACCGAAAGCGAAGGCGAUCUCCUGGAACAUUACUGACGCUGAGGCGUGAAAGCGUGGGGAGCAAACAGGAUUAGAUACCCCAGU